AGCAUUGCGCCGGAUGAGCGGGAAUCAUUGAUGUUGAUUUAUAUAUAAGAUUUAUUUCUUUUCAAUGCUA
rnacentral:tRNA from 1 species